rnacentral:lncRNA from 10 species
CUUGCCUAAGGUUGUGCAGUGAGUUAAUGGCAAAGGGGCCCUAGAGCCCACUCCCUACAUGGCUGCUGGUCGGAUGAUGUCUAUUAUUGUAUCAUCAAAUUCCCUGAUGUUUUCCUCUCUGGCCUGCAUUCUGCUGUUAAGCCCAUCUCCAUUGAGGUUUCUAUUUUGGUUCUAUGGUAUGUUUCAGUUCUGAAAUUUCCACUGGAGUCUUUCCAUCUUCUUCAUUGAGUCUUCUCUAUUUUUGCAUUUGUUGUAAGAGUUUAUUGAAGCAUUGCUUACUGAAGCAUUUUUAUGAUGACUAUUUAAAAAUCAUUGUCAAUAAGUAAAAUAGUGUAACUGGAUGUUUGUAACACCAAAGAUACAUGCUUGAGGGGAUGGACACCCCAUUCUCCAUGUGAUUAUUACACAUUGCAUGCCUGUGUCAAAUCAUCUCAUGUACCCCAUAAAUAUAUACAUCUAUGUACCCAG